rnacentral:rRNA from 1 species
AUGGCCGCCAUGAAGGUGGUGCUGAAGCUGGACGUGCACGACGACAGGCAGAAGCAGAAGGCCAUCAAGGUGGUCUCCGCGCUCCAUGGGAUAGACCACAUCGCCGUCGAUAUGAAGGACCAGAAGAUGACGGUCGUCGGUACCGUCGACCCCAUCGCCGUCGUGGCCUUCCCCACGGCGCAGAUCUUCUCCGUCGGCCCGGCCAAGGAGGAGAAGAAGGACGGCGACAAGAACGACGCGGGUAAGCCGGUGGAGUACCCGACGUACUGGUACCCGCCGCCGCCGUACCACCCGCACCUGUACCACCUCGCUCACAGCGCCGAGGAGGACCCCAACUCGUGCGUCAUCUGCUGA